rnacentral:rRNA from 1 species
UAGAGGCCUAGCCUCGGCGUACCGCUCAGUAACACGUGGGUAACCUACCCUAUGCUGGGGGAUAAGCUCGGGAAACUGAGAAUAAUACCCCAUAGUCCACUACGCCUGGAACGGUGAGUGGAUCAAAGCUCCGGCGGCAUAGGAUGGGCCUGCGGCGUAUCAGGUUGUAGGGGGUGUAACGUACCCUCUAGCCAUCCACGCGUACGGGUGUUGGGAGACAUUGCCCGGAGAUGGAUUCUGAGACACGAAUCCAGACCCUACGGGGUGCAGCAGGCGCGAAAACUUGGCAAUGCGAGAAAUCGUGACCAGGGAACUCCAAGUGGCAGGGGUAAGACCCUGUCUUUUUCCGACUCUAAAUAGGUCGGCGAAUAAGGGGUGGGUAAGGACGGUGCCAGCCGCCGCGGUAAUACCGGCGCCUCAAGUGGUAGUCGCUUUUAUUGGGCCUAAAACGUCCGUAGCCGGUCUGGUACAUUCCUGGGUAAAUCAACUCGCUUAACGAGUUGAAUUC